rnacentral:rRNA from 1 species
UACGAAGGGGGCGAGCGUUGUUCGGAUUUACUGGGCGUAAAGGGCGCGUAGGCGGGAUGGCAAGUCAGUCGUGAAACCUCUCGGCUCAACCGAGAAACGUCGCUGAUACUGCCGUUCUUGAGGGAUGCAGAGGAGACUGGAAUUCCCGGUGUAGCGGUGAAAUGUGUAGAGAGCGGGAGGAACACCGGUGGCGAAGGCGGGU